rnacentral:rRNA from 1 species
UACGAAGGGGGCUAGCGUUGCUCGGAAUCACUGGGCGUAAAGCGCACGUAGGCGGCUUUUUAAGUCAGGGGUGAAAUCCUGGAGCUCAACUCCAGAACUGCCUUUGAUACUGGGAAGCUUGAGUCCGGGAGAGGUGAGUGGAACUCCGAGUGUAGAGGUGAAAUUCGUAGAUAUUCGGAAGAACACCAGUGGCGAAGGCGGCUCACUGGCUCGGUACUGACGCUGAGGUGCGAAAGCGUGGGGAGCAAACAGG